AUGUCCCGACUGGAUCAUUACUAUAGCCAGCUAUUGAGGGUAUUCAAAAAGAAGUGCGGAACAGCAAGACGUGAUAUCGACGUAAUCAUCGCAGAAAUGGACAUGAAUCCAAGUGUUGAAGUACGAUGGACAUUGAUCCUAAAGGCGUUGUGCGUCUACUUGAUUGAAAAGCCUGACAGCCUUAUUAAGGACUACUGGGCUACUGAGGAUAUUGGUAUUAAUGCAAUGAUGGAAAUGGAGAGACUGGAUUUGGGUGUCUACAUUGUUCGACAUGAUGGAGCAGAUGCUUCAGAUCCACCUGAGGAUGUUGGCGUCAUCAUUGAAGGCUGCACAGUGCUGCGAGAUCUGAGAGAGGCUGCAAAUGGAUGUGCAGUCCUGUUUGGCUUGAUACUGUUUAAACUGAGCUAUCCCAAGGAGCUGCGAUACACAUUCGAAUUUCUUCAGAAAGUGUUUAUGGAAUUGGAUGGGAACAAGCUCUCCACUAAAGUGCAAGGUCCUCAAAAACAAACUGCAUGAGUAAAAUCACCUGCACCAGACAAGACUGGACCCGGCCUUGGACACUUUAGUUGUGUUGACUGUUACUUUAUUUUUGGACUGCUGCUUGACAAAAUAAAGCUAUAAUCAAUGAUGGUUUGUAAUAAGCAGACAGGACUGCAGUUGGUCAUCGACUUGCUUGGGGAGGCUCAGUUCUUUGGAUUUUGCACUGCUGCUAGACAAAACAUCUAGCAAUCUAAAGACAAUGUUGGUUGUUGUAAUUGGCAUUUAAAUUUCUCUUGUUUUCUGAUUUCUUCAGAAUCAAAAGAUGUGAAAUACAACAAACACUGGUUUGUUAUAAUGAAACCAUCUCAAACAAUUUAAGGUGAAGAUUGUUUUUUUGUUACGUAAACAUUGCUGAUUUUCUAUUUCUCCUUUUAAUGCAAACUAUAAACCUUGUAUUUUUCAAAAAAAAAUUCUUAAGUCAGCAGGUAUGUAAAGUCUGAACAUAGUAUGUUCUAUCGGUGAAGUGAGAAUUUUUCUGCAGCAUAAAUCCUCUUGAUUUUAAACUUCAGUUAAUUCAACCUCCCUCCAUAUAGAAAACAAGGAUUUGCCUCUUUAGUUUUAAUUUCAGUAGGCAACACCUGUUAGACAUUGUUGACGUCAAAGUUCCAAUUUACUAUAAAGCUAUAUUGGGAUUGAACAUUAUCAGAUGGUGAAGAUUCACAAACAAGUUUUAUAUUUUUGAAUUAUUAUUUAUAUUGGUCUAUUUGCAUUUUAAACGUGGAUUUAUGUUGGUGUCUUCAAUUGUAUUUUUACACUUUGUAUUUGUAUGUAAGUUUUGCUUACGUAUUUGUAAUAAUUUUAUCAGUCAUGAUAAUCCCAGAUAUAUUAAUGUACCUUGAAGGUCAACAUUACUUUUUGACUUAAUUAUAUUUCAAAACCAAAGGUGAAUAAAGUUAAUUGAAGUGACUUGAGUAGUUUUCUUUUUAAACCGAGCAAGUAUAAUCAACACAAAUGGAUAACAUUAGCUUAUUUCUGUUUAAUAGAUAGAACUUAAUCAGGUAAUGUUAGUUCAAGCUAUAGUCAUUAAAUUCAAGACAAUAAUUUAUAUUUAUUCAAAAUAAUUGUGUAAUGUACCAUUUAA
ensembl:lncRNA